UGGCUAAGCGGUAAAGCGCUUGGCUUCCGAACCGAGGGGCCCCGGGUUCGAAUCCCGG
rnacentral:tRNA from 1 species